UACGGAGGGUGCAAGCGUUGUCCGGAUUCAUUGGGUUUAAAGGGUGCGCAGGCGGGCCAUUAAGUCAGGGGUGAAAGACGGUUGCUCAACAAUCGCAGUGCCUUUGAUACUGGUGGUCUUGGGUGACCUUGAGGUAGGCGGAAUGGGUGGUGUAGCGGUGAAAUGCAUAGAUACCACCCAGAACUCCGAUUGCGAAGGCAGCCUACUGGAGGUUAACCGACGCUCAGGCACGAAAGCGUGGGGAUCAAACAGG
rnacentral:rRNA from 1 species